GUGUCAGCAGCCGCGGUAACACGAACUGUGCAAACGUUAUUCGGAAUCACUGGGCUUAAAGAGUUCGUAGGCGGCGCGUUAAGUCGGGUGUGAAAGCCCUCGGCUCAACCGAGGAAUUGCGCCCGAAACUGGCGUGCUUGAGUGAGAUAGAGGUGAGCGGAACUGAUGGUGGAGCGGUGAAAUGCGUUGAUAUUAUCAGGAACACCGGUGGCGAAAGCGGCUCACUGGGUCUCAACUGACGCUGAGGAACGAAAGCUAGGGGAGCGAACGGGAUUAGAAACCCCGGUAGUCC
rnacentral:rRNA from 1 species